AGACGGGACCCGCACAAGCGGUGGAUGAUGUGGAUUAAUUCGAUGCAACGCGAAAACCUUACCUACCCUUGACAUGUCCGGAAUCCCGAAGAGAUUUGGGAGUGCUCGCAAGAGAACCGGAACACAGGUGCUGCAUGGCUGUCGUCAGCUCGUGUCGUGAGAUGUUGGGUUAAGUCCCGCAACGAGCGCAACCCUUGUCAUUAGUUGCCAUCAUUUGGUUGGGCACUCUAAUGAGACUGCCGGUGACAAACCGGAGGAAGGUGGGGAUGACGUCAAGUCCUCAUGGCCCUUAUGACCAGGGCUACACACGUGCUACAAUGGCCGGUACAAAGAGUUGCGAUACCGUGAGGUGGAGCCAAUCUCAUAAAGCCGGUCUCAGUUCGGAUUGGAGUCUGCAACUCGACUCCAUGAAGUUGGAAUCGCUAGUAAUCGUGGAUCAGCAUACCACGGUGAAUACGUUCCCGGGCCUU
rnacentral:rRNA from 1 species